rnacentral:lncRNA from 1 species
CACCCUGAACUCAUAAGAUAACUGCAUGAUAUCACAUUCAAAAAUCAGUCUUUCUUGUAAAAUGUCUUCACAGUGCAGGAUUCCUGUUCGGUAGCUAGAAGACCCACUUUAAAGAAGAUGAGGAUUUAAUUCCCCUUUCACUGGCAGAGGUUCAAACCCACCGUUCCCACCUCUCAAGGGACACCCUAAUCAAUGAGCAACCAUCUGUUCAGGGGCCCUUAUGUAACUCUUCAUGAAUUCCAAGUCUGCCGUUAAGGUGCUCCUAUGUAACUUAUCCAACCUCCCAGUUCCUGUAUGGACAUUCCAUAAGUCCUUGGUCAAAUCUACCCAGUCCUCUGCAGACAGGAAGUUUCUGGAAGCAGCAGAAGACACACUGCUCAUGCUCCUUCACAGAAUUGUUACCUGGCAGUAUAAGCAUUGUGGAAGUAUGAACUUAAAGAAGAAAAGUUGA